rnacentral:rRNA from 1 species
GAUGAACGCUAGCUACAGGCUUAACACAUGCAAGUCGAGGGGUAACGAGAGGAAAGCUUGCUUUCCUUGUUGACGACCGGCGCACGGGUGAGUAACGCGUAUCCAACCUGCCCCCAACUAGGGAAUAACCUUGCGAAAGUAAGACUAAUACCCUAUAAUUUCCUCAGAUGUCAUCUGACGAGGAAUAAAGAUUUAUCGGUUGUGGAUGGGGAUGCGUCUGAUUAGCUUGUUGGCGGGGUAACGGCACACCAAGGCAACGAUCAGUAGGGGUUUUGGGAGGAAGGUCGCCCACAUUUGAACUGAGACACGGUCCAAACUCCUACGGGAGGCAGCAGUGAGGAAGAUUGGUCAAUGGGCGGAAGCCUGAACCAGCCAAGUAGCGUGCAGGAUGACGGCCCUAUGGGUUGUAAACUGCUUUUAUACAGGAAUAAAGUUAGCCACGUGUGGUUACUUGUAGGUACUGUAUGAAUAAGGACCGGCUAAUUCCGUGCCAGCCGCCGCCGUAA